UACGUAGGUGGCAAGCGUUGUCCGGAAUUAUUGGGCGUAAAGCGCGUGCAGGCGGUCCUUUAAGUCUGAUGUGAAAGCCCACGGCUCAACCGUGGAGGGUCAUUGGAAACUGGGGGACUUGAGUACAGAAGAGGAAAGCGGAAUUCCACGUGUAGCGGUGAAAUGCGUAGAGAUGUGGAGGAACACCAGUGGCGAAGGCGGCUUUCUGGUCUGUAACUGACGCUGAGGCGCGAAAGCGUGGGGAGCAAACAGG
rnacentral:rRNA from 1 species